UACCAUAGCCUCCUUGGGCACCAAGGUUUGCUUCCUGCCUGUGUUUUAGCAUAAUGCAUGUGUUGUACUUUUGCUUUUACCCAGCAAAGGUAUCUAAACAUCACGUUAGUUAUGGCCAUAUAUUCAAGGAACGUUGGACUGAAAUCAAGUUCAUGUUUUUAUGGCGACAGCAAGUAGAGGUGUGGCUUGUGUUUUAGCUGCAAGAAAGCGGGCCCUGGUCUACAUACUGGACGAGGAUGAAGAUGAAAUCUCUGAUUCAGAAUGACUGUUCAAGAUUUUGUGGUGGUUAUGCUCGUGUUGCUCCUGUGGGUGGACCUCUACUCUCCGAAGCUGCAGACAUCGGUGUGAGAAGCAAUACAUGUUGGCUUUUGUGACUGAAGUUUUCCGGUUCCGCCCUUCUUGGAAAGUGUUAAUUUAUACCUGCCACGUGCCUUUCCUGCCUGGUGGGCAUUUGUUGAAGAUAAAACUGGAGUAAAAGGUAACUAUUUAUCUAUUUAGAGCCAUGGCUUCUAUCUGGUGGCAAUUGCCUUCAUAGUAUUGCUGCAAACUUUGAGACCCAUUCGAUAGUGCCAAGCUUAUGCUUCAUCUGUAUAUGUUUAUAACCCUCAUAUAUAAGAGAAACAAAUGCUUGGUUUGGAUUUUCUAUACUUUGGGUUGAAUGGUUCACUUGGUGUAAUCGACCAACGAACUUUGCUUUUGAAUGUUAAAGUCUCUCACCUAAAUUUGACUUGCUUCUCUAUGUCAACGUUAAGUGAUGCAUCCAAUUCAAAGCACAAAAUACGUUUGUGUGGAAGGGCUACCCUCCGGGAUCAAUAUAAUCAACAUGACCAGCCACUAAAUAUACAGUUGCAAGGUGGCUUUAAAGAGCAUUUGACUAUAUUGUUGUAUCGGAGAUUCGGAAUCCGCAAAUGAACGGUAGGUUUAGGAUGAUGAGACUAUGUCUACAAUAUCUUCAAUGGACUUGUGUUUUCUUAACCAAGAGUAUCACGUAGCCAUUGAAUUUAAUGAUGUAUAAACUUAUAGGAAUGUUCAAUUUUUUAAGUAGUUCAUGACGUAAAGGAACUUUGGAAUGACCCAGUAAAUUUGAAAGAUCUAGAUACUCAAUCCUCUAUCAUAAGGACAAAAUUCUAGUGCCGACCCAAUAUUAAAUCAAACAGACCCCGAGCUGCUUUGCAUCAAAGCUCGUUAUAGAGAAAUUUAAGUAAACCAUUUCAAAGACCGAGAAAACAAGAAGAGAAGGCCAGGAAAACGGGUACAAGAGAACUUAGGGUGCCUUUGGUUUAGUGGUUUAAGCCUAUUAAGAAAAUGUAAAGAAAUUUAACCUAAAGGAUUUUGGGUAAAUACAAAUUUUUUUAAUAAAUUAUGCUUUGAGAAGUAAUUUUGAAAGAAAUGUCAUUUGGUAAAAAAAUGUAUUUGAAAAUCGGAAAUUUUGAAGAAUGAGUAAGGGUAGUUUUUGAGGAAAAAAAAUGAGUUUUAGCAUUUGACCAAAUGCUGAAAGCUUAAUGCUAAUCCUUAUUAAUAUUGGGCUUUUAGCUUUGUUAAUGCUGGCUUUUUAUUUAAAAGUUACUUUAAAAUAAUUGUUAAAUGAUUGAGCAUUUUCCCAAGGAUUUUGGAGAUUGAAAGCUCUUUGGGAAUGUUAAACCAAACGCAUCUUAAGGGUUGACAAUGCAUGCGUUCUCCGAAAAGGCUGCAUUGCCACUAGAUAGCAGCAGUAGGCAAGACUUGUCACAUGGGUCUCCAUGGAUUUGGUCGCAAUUCUAAUGCAUAAUAAGCGUAGAAUUCAAGUACCCUCUUUGAAUGGUAUGACCUUGCAUUCCUUACAUGUGAUACAUCAGAUAACUUUCCUGAAGAAAGAUGUCGAAAGAACUGAGGUAGAGACACUUUUCAAUGAAAAAAAGUAGUCGCUUAAGAAGGCUUUCAACAAAGCUGUUCUAUAUACAGAUGAAGAAUAUCACCCAAUGAAAUAAUACCACCAUUUAAGAAACAAUUACCAUCAUUUCUAUCAGGAAUAGAAUCAUCUUCCCUAAAGCGAAGAAAGAAGUAUGAACAAGCCCGGACUUCGAUAGUUGGUUGGUCUAACUCCACGAGUCUGACACCUGUCUUCCUGAUGAAGUACCCCCACUGCAGCACCGCCUUUAUCUUGAGCCAGCCAAUAACGCCUCUGCCGGUUCCCCUAACAAAACCAUUAUCGGAUAACGGGGUCUCAGAGAACGGGUCAUUACAUGGUGUGUUCUCAGCAAACCAUGAUUGGAUCUCUUCCAUCACAUGAUCGCCUUCAAGAAGAGCAUUAUCAUAUCCUGCAUUGUCCAUUUGGCUCGAAGAACCGAUCAUUUGGCGAUGUAUGGCAUUCUGUAAGUUGAUACCAAGGGUCUGUGUUGGCAAUCCGGCAGUAGUACUAUCAUGAUAUCCUGGAGGAAUCUGAACAUUCGAGCGGUCUGCAGACAUGGGCUGAUGUGCAGCAGGACGAAAAUUUGGCAAUUGAACCCGCAAUGCCAAAGCCGUUGCACCAUUGAGUCCUGAAGAAAGAACUAAACAUUAAUGCGGUUCAUAAACAUAGGCCGACGUAAGCACAGGACUACGAGCCUAUAAAAAUUCUUGCAAUGAUUCAUCAUGAGCUUUUACUAUUCUGGUAUCACAGAAAGUGCUACUAGUUUUUUUUUCCCUUACCCUGCACAUCUCUUUAAUUUUUCUUGCCCCUGAUCUUUGUAACGCGCUUCACUUGACAAGGCCCUUUUGUAAAAUGACAAAAAUGCAAAUAUAAACAUGUUGCCGUGUGCUCAUUACAUCUAGUCAUAUCUACCUAGUGGUAGCAUUAUCUUGUCAACGUUCACUUAGCAUCACCUAAGUGAAGGGUUCAUGAGUAUCCGCCCUCCCCAUCUCCAAUCCCCCACUCAAAAAAGGCACAUGUUACCACCUAAUUUUUUAGUUGCUUUUCAAUUGCUUGGACGGAACACAUACAUGCAUACAUACGUAUAUAUGUAUUGAAUGAGGCUCAUUUUGCAUCAAUCACAGCUGGACAAACGAACGUCUUUAUAUUAAGUGGAACCCAAAAGGAUAAGUUACACAAUGCUUUAAUAUAUAAAAGCUCAACAAUCAAGUGGAAAUUCCAAUUUUCAUUGAAAUUUCACAGGCCACGUCUUUGUAUGUGCUUAAAGGGAGAGACAGUAUUGUGUUCUAGAGAACGUACCUUCAGCAGUGGAGCUCACAUUUGCCGGAGGAGCUUCCAAACCAAACGGGGCAGGAAAGAUUGGUGGAGCCAAAUAACGUUGAACAGGGUUGCUCCUCAUUGAAUCAGAGAACGUCUCACCAUUGAACUCUCUCACAUCAUUCCAGUUAGCCAAGGCCUUUUUCACAAUUGCAUCUCCAUGUUCCUGGGAAAAACACACCUGGUAUAUUGCUUAAGCUGUACUAAUGGAAGUAUUUAUCUCCAUUAUUGACAGGUAAACAUUCUGGCUUCAAGCAACUAAUUUUUUUUGACAAGUAAAGUUGCAUUCCAAUGGGAUGAACUUGUAUUCAGAUUAAAGUACGUGAGUGCAGCACAGNNNNNNNNNNNNNNNNNNNNNNNNNNNNNNNNNNNNNNNNNNNNNNNNNNNNNNNNNNNNNNNNNNNNNNNNNNNNNNNNNNNNNNNNNNNNNNNNNNNNNNNNNNNNNNNNNNNNNNNNNNNNNNNNNNNNNNNNNNNNNNNNNNNNNNNNNNNNNNNNNNNNNNNNNNNNNNNNNNNNNNNNNNNNNNNNNNNNNNNNNNNNNNNNNNNNNNNNNNNNNNNNNNNNNNNNNNNNNNNNNNNNNNNNNNNNNNNNNNNNNNNNNNNNNNNNNNNNNUGUUGAUGAGUGCCUCAGAUUCUCAUGGAUGAACUGAAUAAAGUGCUGAAAGUGGUCUUUAACUUACUCAAUAUAGAGGGCCACUUAGAUUUACAAGGUCACUAACCUUAACUUUGCUUCACAAAGAGCGCAAGCUCAAAAUCACUCCAUUAAUAGAAAGUCUCUAUUAUGGAUCUAAACAUAGCAUCUAUUUUUUUUUUUUUAUUCUCUCCACGGGAACUUCAUUAUACUUUUGUGAUCGGAAAGAAAAAAACAAAACAAAAGAAAAAGCAAAGCCUCUAGAUGUCAAUUAACUCCUUGUUUCAGGUUUCCAAAUCUCUAGUCAAUUCUAACACCUACUAAGCCACACAGCUACAAGUGAACAUCAAAAUACUGAUUACAUAGAAAAUAUGGGACAACUAAUUCGAAUUCCCCAAGAUGGGGUGUGGCGAGUGAACUGGCUUGACAAAAUUGAGUAGGAACUCCUUGGUUACUUACCUUCUCUUGAGCAGAAAGUCGAUGAGUAGCAAAAUAUUCCGUGUCUUUGACUAGGCCGAUUGGUUGACCAUCAGUGUUGAAUACAGCACCAUGCUUCGUCAGGCCAUCAGGAUAGUCCAAGUAAAGUUUCCACUUUGUUUCGCAAGUCUUUGCAUGGCGUAUCAGGCUAUCCCACUACUUCUCUGUUAUGCUCUUUCCGAGAAUCUAUGAUGAGUGAACACACAGGACUUACAUUCUUGGCAGUCAAUCAAACCCUAAUUGGGAAUCAUUAACUGAGUGCUUACCUCUCUCAAUUUCUCGGGGUCCGUGAACAGUUGCAGUAGAAAGUCUUCCACUUUAUAUAUUCCAGCAUCACUUAGUUUUUGGUGAGAUUUCCCACCUUUGGCAAUGUUCUCCAACCUCCAAACCUCAUCGUCAGAUGCAGGUGGAUGAUGUUUCAUGUAUGCUGUAAAAUGAAGAUUAGAUUAAUUUGUAGAAGCAAACCUCUAGGAGGCUUGCAAUCUCUCCCCUGUAGGAGGCUUGCAAUCUCUCCCCUGAAACUGAUCCAGAGUGUGGACAUUUACCAAUAACAAACAAACCGAUAGCUUCUUAUUUAUCAGAAUUUUUGUUCAAGUUGUAAAGGUCCACACGAAAAUGAAGCUCUAAAUUAAAAAAUUGAAGACUGUGGACGUCCAAAAUCAUGUUUAUGUUCAGUCAAAUAGGAUAAGGUUUAUAUACUGUAGAAAGACUAUGAAGGACCUACCUUCCCCUCUAUGUUCCUUGACUUGGAAGGCGUCUGUUUUUGCUUCUCGGAUUCGUGUGUUCCCACAACUACCCGUUGCCACCUUAAGCCCUAUCCUGAAUCUUUUACUCCUAUUCCAACUGGAAUUGUCAGUAAAUAUCAGUUCUCCGAUCUCCCCAACACCUUCCUUGAGCUUCACUACGAGAUCUCCAGCCAAAAGCGGCCUCUUUCCUUCACGUUGUUUAACCACGUGGCUCUCAAACGCUUCUUGGGUCCAGUUAUCCUCAUCGUCUUUGUUGAAGUCACCUUCGAGCACGACGAUGUCCAACUUAAUGGAGGAUUCCAGGCCUGAUCUAACUACAUCCCCUGUAUUUGCAUUGAUCAAGGCAACGGAAAUGUGUGCACCCCCCACUCCUUCUAGUUUCUGUCCAGUAAAUAGAGAAUCUGACAGUUUGGUUUGAAUUUGAAGCCGUAAGUCUCUCACAUCACUCUCCCGUAGAAUUAGCAUUAGCCCUGCAUUCUCUCCAGAAACCAACCAUCAGAAAUAGGAAUGUGUAUAAAAAACGGAAAAUUGGAAAAAUAACGACAGAGAGACAAAAUACCCAACAUCUCACUUGGACAGGUCUUACUGCCGAGGAAACUACAAGGAUAAAUAGGCCUGUCGUUUUAUUUGUUUAAUAAUUCACAUUUAAAAAAAAAAUGAAGUAAAAUAAAAUAAAAUGUUCCACUGGCAAGCUACAAGGAUUAUGUUCUAAAUUGAGCAUUGACACUUUGGUGCACGACCGAGUCAUUGUGGCAUGACACUCACUGAGAGCUCAGACUGCCUGCUUGGGGUGGUAGUGGUAGGUCGGACCAUUAUUCCCCAAAACAUCAACAAUGCAUAACCUGUCAACACUACACAGAAAGCCUUUCUCAACAGCAUCACGAGGGAAGUGCAUCCAUACCUUGCACGCUGGGGAGAAUGAAUGUUUCCAAAAUCCACUGCUUCCAUCUGUUCAAAACCACCAACAGCAGAAUUGCCAAAGUUGGAGACAUCCAAAAAAUGAAGCAGGAGGGAUACAAAACCAAUCCAUUCCAUCAAAAGGAGUUGGAAAACCUAUGCUGUGGCUCUUUCCUAAAAACAACUUAUCAAACACCUUAUUGAACUAAGUUCUUCAUGCAUAUUGAAUUCACUAUCUUUUACCUAACAGCAGUUGUCUAUAAACUCAUAUGAUCAAUCCUAAGCAUUUUCAUUUUCCCCUUCCAUUCCAUGUCCAUGAAAAAAAUUUCAUGUGCUUUAGAAUGGUUAUGAUUUAGCUUUAGGUGAUAAAGCCACAUUUGAAACUGUUAUUGAGGAGAAUGAAUGGAGAUGGCCUCCAGCAAGGUCUGAUGAUCUGCUUGAAACUCAGAUGGCUUUGUGUGGGUUGAUUGCUCCAAACUCUGGCUCUAUAGACAGUGUGGUAUUUACUGGAUCAUCUAGGGGCUCUUUCUCUAUAAAGGAGAGUUCGAAGCUAGUGAGGACAUGGGGGAACAAAGUGACUUGGCUUAGGCUUGUAUGGUUUAUGCCUAAUAUGACAAAACAUGGGUUUAGAACCUGGCUAGUGAGUCGUAAUAGGUUGCACAGAAGGAUCUCCUAUGUCAAGAUAUAAGGCUUUCCUAUUAUAACAAGUUGUUCAAAAGGAUCUCCUGUUCUUCCCGUCGAGCAGGGAUGCAAGUUGGCCCUAGUAAGCUGACAGUACUGAGUGGAAGGUCCUCACUCAACGGAUAUAAGUUACUCUAUGGAUAACAGGUUGAUCUUCCCCAAGAGUUCACAUUGACAAGAAGGUUUGGCACCUCAAUUUUGUCUGCCCAUGUGGGACAUUAUGCUGUAACAGACUUGUAUGGAAAUUAGGCCUUCCCAUGUUUUUCUUUCCACAGGUUGCACAACAAAAUGAAUAUUUACUUAUAGACAAAGGAGAUCGUGUGAAGUUUGUCUGUCGGAAUGAAGCGAUUAGUAAGUUCAUUCUAUCACUUCAUGACAUGCAGAGAAACAACUCAUACCUUAAGUGUUGAUGAAGAUAUGUCUGUGAAAAAGUAGAAAUCUUAUAAACUUGUUUAUCUUACCAAUCUCUGAAAAUCAUUCUCUGAGCGCAUCUGUGGCACUAUAUCUUUGAGAGCAUUCCAGAUGCAACUACACCAUAAAAAUUGAUACCAUGAACAACUGCUGUCUUGUGGACUUAUUCGUAACAAAAAGACAGAUAACCCUUGACAUUUAAGUUACUUGUACAAAUGAAUGUCAGAUCUAAUUACUGUAUAAACCAUAAAUGCCAGACUCAUCAAAUGCAUUCCUUAAUCUAACUCGACAUAAAAAGUCAACAUAAAACUGGAAUACAAAUUUAUCCAGUACUUUGAUAACAGAAGCAAAUAAUGUUGAUUAGCUGCUAUCUCCAAAUGCACCAUCCUGUCAGUGAUUUAAAGAAAAAGGUAUGCACAGGUAUUACACUUUGCCGAACAGAAAUUUGGAUUUAUGGCAUUAAUACUUUGAUGAGACAAUAGACAUGGAAAUUCUCCUGCAGAAAUCAGUUCAUGCAGAUAUGAUACUGCCAACAAACCAAAUGAAAUAUAAUCACCUUUGAAAAUAUUUGGCCCUGUCAGAUUUAGCACUCUCCAGCUCUUCUCGUAACUGUCCAGCAAAGAAAGCAAAAGCAAAUGAUUACAUAAACAAGAGCCAUCUGUCACGUAAUCAUCACAUUCAAGUUUCACAUCACAGGUAUCUUCAUUUUCCUCCUCCUACGUUCAAAGGGUCAUUGACCACAUUUUCCAGGAUUCAAGGCGACAGUUAUGUCCAGGGCACUUCAUCGAAAAUUUGUAUCUUUUUGUGAACCAUACUGCCCAACACAACAUGAAAAGCCUAAAGCAUGUGUUUAGUGCAAUUGCUUCCCAGGAAAAUCCUAGAACAUUCAGCAGGUCAUUUUUACCACUCAAGCAAUAAUUCUCUAUACAUCUCUUGGCAAUUUCUCACGCGGAUUACUGUCCAGAAACUGGCCGGAAUGUCAGAAAUGCAUCUAACCACUUCUGAUCGAAGAAACAGGAAUUGAAAUAUAAUAAGGGCUGUACUUUGCAUGUCCAACUUGGCUACUUCACUCAUCUUACCAUACUCCGCAGAUCCUCUGUCAAACAGCAAGUCAAACAGCAACUCGGCACAGGAUUCAUUUCGGACCCGUUCCAUGCUUGACUGCAUGAACAUCAGCACAAAAGUACAAGCGAGAUAGGAUAUUUAGACGACAGGAUAGCAAAUUAACCUGGUAACGAUAACAGCUCACUUGCUAGAUAAAUGAUUUUAACAGAAUUCAGCUCAAAUAAGGAGGAAGUACUGCAAUUGGCCAACAUAAAUUCACAAAACAGAUUUGAGACGAUGACAUCCGAGGUCAUUAGUACUUCGCAUUAAAACAACAGCACAAACCCAUAAAUAAAGAACUGAACGAAAGUGAUUUUGAACGGUCAUGAGGCAAAAGCUUAUCGAUGGCGGGCUUUCACCANNNNNNNNNNNNNNNNNNNNNNNNNNNNNNNNNNNNNNNNNNNNNNNNNNNNNNNNNNNNNNNNNNNNNNNNNNNNNNNNNNNNNNNNNNNNNNNNNNNNCCUCAAGUACAGCUAAAACUAACGCAGAUCAUCAAACAACGAAUCCAGCAUGAUACGUCAGAGGGAAGAGCGAGCUUACUUGAUGGAGGCAAGCAUGGCAUCUUGGGUUACUUGGUUGACAUGAAGAAGAAGAGGGAGGCAAAGCUCUCUUUGGCUUCCGCAUGGCUUUUCCCUUCUCCUUUCUGGAGCUCAACGAGAAGCAAGAGAAUGUCUGGUUACUGAAAAAGCGCAGCACAGAGCAGAGAGCAGAGAGCAGAGAGAGAGAGAGAGAGAGAGAGAGAGAGAGAGAGAGAGAGAGAGAGAGAGAGAGAAUCAGCCUGCUGUAGAAAUUAUUGGCUUUAGAAUGGGUGAGCUCAGGGGUCUUUCAAGAUGGCACUCUUGUUACCUGGGUAUUGGUUUGGAUGAGACACUGGUGGACAAUGCAGUAGAAAAGGCUGGAAUGCUGCUUGUACAGGUUGAGCGAUUCGUAAGGGUGCUCUCAUCUGUUGUGCAGCAGGUAGCCUGUUACAAUCUUUGUUAUGAUUUCUCCACGUUUCUUGAUACCUUCUGUUUGCUACUCUUUUCCAAAAUCUUGCCCGUCUCUCAUCGUGCAUAUCUUUAGUCAUGCUAAAUUCCUAAAUUUUAAACAUGGAGUUGAACUACUUGUGGAUAUAAGACACAAGAUCUUGUGUGCUCAGAAUGACAUUAUUCUAGCUGAAUAACAUUUAAUAUUUGAAAGCGUUUUCGUUGAGAAUUUGAGGAAGAUAUUGUUAGCUGGGCAUUUGCACAUGACUUGAACCUGUUUAACAAAGUUUCAUCUCGCACCUUUUAAGAUCAUGAUGAAAUACUGACAAUAUCACAUUGUUAUUUGUUGAUAUAUAUCAUCGUGUAUUUGAAGGACCAAAGAGAAAUUGCAUGACUUUUUUAUCUUUGCUUACGGCACCUUGACAACUUAGGGUUUGUUGAUACCUUUUCAAUUUCGCACAUGCUAUGCUGGAGACAUCCAUUCUUUCUUGUUUUAAAAUGAAAAUAUUGCCAGUGUGACCACUGAAUCUAGACAAGCUCAGAAUAUUGGUAGGAUCCUAAAUUCUUGAGCCAGCGGUGUAAGCAUUUUGUAUUGGUUGAUAAUGUGCAUGUUGCUGAAGCUUUUGGUUUUGGUUUUGGUUUUGUGUCUCUUUCAGUUUGCAAAUUUCUUCAGCUGGCUUCUGAAAUGUAUAAAGCAACUUAUGUCAGAGCCAAGUGAUCAACUUUUAACAUACAAUAGGUUUGUCUAACUUUUGUCCAUCAGGUUCAUUCCUUAUGGUGAAUCCCUAUUUACUCUUAUGAAUUUCGACAGUGAACUUGUUGUCGUGUUCUUGAAGUUUCUGUAUGAUCAAGAUCCUGUUAUGCAGCUUCUGGAUCUAUCCGAGGCUGAUGAAGAAAUGGACAUUGAUUUGUAAGUGAUUUCCUCCAACUUGUCCAGUUCCUAAUUCUAAGUCAUUUACAAUAUGGCACACAGAACCCCUGAAUCUUUAGUUAAUAUGUGUUCAUACCUGAUGGAGUCACCAAGUGGACUGUUUGGCAUUGCCAUAUACAGAGCUUCCAGUAGAAAUGGCUUGUAUACUCCCUGAAAGUUAAUUAUUUUCCCUCAUUUCAGUCGACAUUAACUUUACUUGGGCUGAGAUGUGACAUGUCAUUAUUUUUGAUAGAAUGGCUACCCAUUGAAUUAAUAAAUUUCUUCUCUUGUGCAUCAUCUGAAGUUUGGCUCCUACUUGGUGUUCUUAAUGAAUUUCAUUCAUCUAAUAAGAAAAUGUUAUUGCCUGGCCCUAGUUAUGGAAUCAUAUGUAUCAUUCAGACAUGAUGACUGGAUUCAUAAUUUGACAUAACCUUCUAAUUCCAAGUGUGGGCCAUCUCUUCAUUCGUUGUAUCUGAAAUUUGGUGAGGCAAUGGCUUGGAUACUGUGAAGUGUCGACAGCUUAGUAUUGCCUUCAUGUACUCUAGCAGCAAAUUUUGGUGGCCCUUCACUAGGUUGUGCUAUCCAUUUGUGUGCCAGAGGAUUAAAAUAUCAUGGCGUAAUGGACCUUGGUCACGCUUUAAAUGUCAGAGCGGUAUCCUGUCAAGCCUAGUAUUCUUUUCAUGCACUCUAGUGGCUCACUCAUGCCUUUUUGCAAUGCGACCAAAUUAGUUGCUAAAUUCAGAGUAUCGAAAUUGUGAAUGACUCCUGGUUUGAGGGUUAGUUCUUCAUUUUAAGUCAUCUUGCUACCGUCCUCCUAAAUACUUCUAAGAGCACAAGAGAUGAGGUUGACUCAAGUUAGGGUGCUUUGCUGGGCUUUGACUGUGGUCAUUCUUGGUCCAGCAUAUGUUGCUAAUGACAGGGUAACGAGGAUUGAAAUUGACGGGUUGAUUGUCAUUUCUCAUUGGACUGGAAAGUCUUUUGAAAAUCAAAUGUAGUUUCAUGCGCUUGUCUGCCUUGAUGUUUGAUGUCAGGUCAAUAAGAUGUUUUACACAUUAUUGUUUCAGAGAAACUAUGAAGAGAGUCAAAGAAUUAGUGCAAUUUGGAGGAUUUGGGGACAGCAAAUAUUUGUGAAGGACACUUGCAAAGGAGUUUCAACAGAUGGAACACAGGUAUCAGCAAAAGAAUUGAAUGAAAUUUAAUAGAAUCUUGUUCAUGCAUGGAAGUUCUUACUUGAAUGUGUCUUGUUGCUCUUUCAUUGUCGAUUCUUUGUAUUUAUGCUAUAUCUAGAUUUUCCAUUCACUAAUGUUUUUCUGCAUGCUACCUCAGUGGGGAAUAUAUGAACGCUGGGAUAAAUCGUUGCUGUCAUCUGUCAUUUGAAGUGAUCGAUUUUUUCCCUCCUCCAAGUCUGGUCCUCAUUGCUGACGAGUGUACCGAAUAUGAAAUUCUCGAUCUCUUUGUAUGCAUAACAGAGGUUUGAGUAUGAUGGUCCGGCUCCAAAAUGGUUUACGUAAACAUUGCAAUCCUUCACUUAAAACCUUGUGCUUUGGUUUCACCCAACUCAUCGUUUAAUUGAGCUGAAAUAUUCAUUUCUCAUUUGGCUAAUUUAGGUAUCUUGAUAAUGUCAUUUGUCAGUAGAUCUUUCUAUCCAAAUUCCUGUUACAAUAAAAUUGUAGCUAUAUUUUAUAUUUCCUUGUCUGAGUGGCCAGAACCUUGAGACUAUAAUGAGAGAAGGAAAAAAAGGAAACCCUCGGGGGUGGGGGUUGUCUUCUGAAGGUUGUACUCAACAAUGGUUUUUUACUUACCCUCUACCUAAUAAUCUAGUGUUUCGUAUUCAAUCUCAGGUUGAUUACUUGACAAUGUACAUGGAAACUUAAGCUGGGUGAUCUUAUUGGAUUGGGCUUUCUGAUUAGUUUAUGAUUAUUGUGUGAUAAUGCUGUAUCUCAUGUUUACUGAUUAGGAAUAAAUUUAAAUUUUUACAGUUUCAAGGAAGCUGCCCAGAUGCCUUUUUCUACCAUUUCAAAAAAGAUAUGUUGUAAGAAUUUAUUGCCUCUAUUCCGUCUUACAUCAGUUUCAGCAUCCACCCGAUACAUUCCAAUUUCACUGUCCUCCUAUGAGGUAUUUAGCCUUAAUCUGAAUCUACAAUUUUAUCCGGAGAUCUGCAUGGGCAGAGUACAACUUCUUUUUCAUGCUAAUCGUUUCUUCAUAUGGCUUUGCAGGAUGCCUCUGAAUUUGCUUCAUCUAAUCUGACUCAUGAAGUUGGGUUUACAGACUAUAUUUCCUUCCAAUUACCUGACGAGUCUUUUUAGAUGUUACAAACUGUAUAGCUGUAGUGAGGGGAUCUAUGAAUGAUUCAAGCAAUGUGAAGCNNNNNNNNNNNNNNNNNNNNNNNNNNNNNNNNNNNNNNNNNNNNNNNNNNNNNNNNNNNNNNNNNNNNNNNNNNNNNNNNNNNNNNNNNNNNNNNNNNNNUUGGCUCUAUAUAAGGUAAAAGCCUGGCAUAUAUUGCUUUAAGAAUUUGUGGAUGUGGCUAAUAUAUUUUAUUUUGAAACAGGACCAUCAAAUUGUUAUGUUGCUAAAUAAGAUGAAUGAUACUGGUGAAAAUUUGGGAGAUGCCUGGAUGAUGAUCUUGCAGGCCAGUGACCUUCCAUUUGUGCACAUUUCAGGAACCACUCGGGCAAAUAACUGGGAGUUGUACCGAUUAAAGGUAACUCUUGGAUCCUAAGCUUGCAUAUUGAUUUCGUACUCGUGAUACGUAUAGGACGCUGUUUGUUCUGAUACGUGUCAGUUCACUAUUUAAAACAUUGAUGGCAAAAAGAAAAUUGCUUUUCAGUUGACUCCUGUUCUUUUCAGUGUUUUAAGAACCGGCUCUGGUUGGAUCAGGAACCAGACCUGUCCAGUCUGGUUUCACAGCAGAAACAGUAGUGGUCAAGAACUGGUGGUAUUGACCCUAUUGUUAUCAGGCGUAACUGUCAACUGUUGACCCACAAUCCUGUCAACUAGUUUGGACCAGUUCUGGGCAUUCAAAAUGUUUAAAGGAAGAGUGUUGGAGUUGGGUUGGGGUUUGGAAUUCGAACCUCUUGUAACUACCAAGCGUACCAACCAUUCACUCCAGUGUCUUCUUGCUUCAAUUUGGUGGUGCAUUAGUAUCCAUUGACCUUAUUGGUUUAAUCUAUUAGAAAAUUAAAUGAUGUUCUUGAGAACUUGAAUGCUGUCAUUUGUGCUCAAUGAGGCUCUGCCGACUCAGCCAGGCAUCUAUUAAUCUGAACACGUGUAAUCUAAUAGAUGUGGAGUAUUCUAUCAGAUGACAUCACAUGCAAUAUGUUAAACCCAUUAAACUGGUAGAACACAGUUCUACCAGUUUGACCGGUUGAACCACUUGUCCAGUUUCAAAAACACUAGGAAUUUUAUUCUUCCUAUCUUUUAUUUGUAUGCUUUCCUCAUCAGCAUGAGAAGCAGCAGCUUAGUUUUUCCUCCUAUGUGCAUGGACAUGCUAUUUCACGCUUGGGAACUCUGAAGGGUGUUUUACUUUCUACCUUACUAUAACUGCAAAAGUUCCAACUUAUCUUGGCAGUUAAAGCCUUCUACAUGUAUGUUGGUUAAAAAGUAGGCAUGUGGUGUCCCUAAUUGAUUUUUUAUUUUUUUGGUCAGAAUGUCCCUAAUAGGUAAGAACUGCCAUUUUCGCUUCUAUUUUGUGAGAACAUUUUUUGCUUGGUUAUCUUAUUCUCACUCCUGAAACAUUAACACAGUGAAACUAUGCAUGUAGGACUCUAUAUUACACCUAGAUGUGGAGAAUGAGAAGAUUCGCAGCAUUCCCCAUACUGUUGUUCCUCCCUUCUCAGUUAGUGGUAAGAAUUUUUGACACCACCAUACAACUGAACUAAGGAUUAAACCAUUGUCAUGCCAUCAAUUUUAUAGUCCUGAAUUUUUUUCCUUGAGCUUCUUACCAUGUCCAUCUGCAUUUUUGGAUGUUUGGAAACUUGUUGUUGCCCAUACUAUUUCCCUUGUGUAUCAAUGCUUGAUAAACUUGCGAGUGUUUGCAACAAUUCCAUCUUGUUGACUAGGUAGUGGACUGAAUAAAUCCUGUCCAUGCUCCUUACUACAUUUUCACUUAACAGCCUACUCAUAAGUUUAAAUAUGACUGGUUAUGACUGUCUUAGGUACAAUAUGUCUCUUUAAUGGACCACUUCAUGUUUGUUCCCACAGUUUGAAGAAGUGCAAACUUAUGCUCCAAAGAAGAAUAUUUUUUCGGUUGAAGAAGUAAUAUACUAAUGUAUCAGGUUUUCCCCUAAAUUUAAAUCUAUUGAGAGGUCAAAGUGCAAAAAAGGUGAAUCUUUAGAGGCCACACAAGUACAGAGAAUAUUCUUCUUAUGGUAGGUUCACUGCGGUCUAGUUACUGACUGAGAACCUGUACAUGUUCAUGAUGAUAGAUACUAUCAUGAUAUCUAGUGUAGCAAGAUACUGUAGAGCAUUCAUAGUUUACAUGCAUACCAUAGCCUCCCUGGGCAGCAAGGUUUGCUUCCCCGCCUGUGUUUUAGCAUAAUGCAUGUGUUGUAGUUUUGCUUUUACCCAACAAAGGUAUCUAAACAUCACGUUAGUCAUGGCCAUAUAUUCAAGAAACGUUGGACUGAAAUCAAGUUAAUGUUUUUAUGGCGACAGCAAGUAGAGGUGUGGCUUGUGUUUUAGCUGCAAGAAAACGGGCCCUGGUCUACAUACUGGACGAGGCUGAAGAUGAAAUCUCUGAUUCAGAAUGACUGUCUGUUCAAGAUUUUGUGGUGGUUAUGCUCGUGUUGCUCCUGUGGGUGGACCUCUGCUCUCCGAAGCUGCAGACAUCGGUGUGAGAAGCAAUGGAUUUUGGCUUUUGUG
rnacentral:lncRNA from 1 species